AUUGAACGCUGGCGGCAUGCUUAAUACAUGCAAGUCGAGCGAGCGGCGGACGGGCGAGUAAUGUAUGGGAACCUGCCUGAUGGAGGGGGAUAACUACUGGAAACCGUAGCUAAUACCGCUUAACGUGAGUUGUGCACAGAUGGGAUUAGCUAGUAGGUGGGGUAAUGGAUCACCUAGGCGACGAUGCCUAGCUGGUCUGAGAGGAUGACCAGCCACACUGGAACUGAGACACGGCCCAGACUCCUACGGGAGGCAGCAGUGGGGAAUAUUCGACAAUGGGCGCAAGCCUGAUCCAGCCAUGCCGCGUGUGUGAAGAAGGUCUUCGGGUUGUAAAGCACUUUCAGCAGGGAAGCGUUACUCGCAGAAGAAGCACCGGCUAACUCCGUGCCAGCAGCCGCGGUAAUAC
rnacentral:rRNA from 1 species